AAUUGUUUAAAUUUUCAUACUCUACUGAACAAUAUUUGUUGCAAAAUAUACCUAUUCGUUAUCGCAGUGCAUUUGCGAAAUUUAGAUGUGGAGUAGCACCUUUAAAAAUUGAAACUGGUCGUUACGAAAGAUUAGAUUUAGAUAAAAGAUUAUGUUUCAAUUGUGAUAAUAUAGAAGAUGAAAAACAUGUAUUGUUAACAUGUCCAUUAUAUGAAGAUUUAAGGCAGUC
rnacentral:lncRNA from 1 species